rnacentral:rRNA from 1 species
AUUAGUUAAGUUCUUGAAAAUUAAAGAUUUUGGCGGUAUUUUAGUCUUUUCAGAGGAAUCUGUCCUAUAAUUGAUAAUCCACGAUUAAUUAAACUUAUUUUUAGUUUAUAUAUCAUCGUAAUUGAAUAUUUUAAAAGAAAAUUAAUAUUCAGGAAAUUAUAUAAAAUAAUAAAUCAGAUCAAGGUGUAGCUUAUAAAUAAGAAGAGAUGGAUUACAUUUUUUGUAAAAUUCGAUAUAUUAUUGAAAAUAAUAUUGAAAUUGGAUUUGAAAGUAAUUAAUUAUAUAUAUUUUUAAUGAUUAAGCUCUAAAAUAUG